rnacentral:rRNA from 1 species
GACGAACGCUGGCGGCGUGCUUAACACAUGCAAGUCGAGCGGAGCGGCGAACGGGUGAGUAACGCGUGAGUAACUGCCCCCCUCUAUGGGGUAACAGUUGGAAACGGCUGCUAAUACAGGAUAGUGGGGGAUGACUCGCGUCCUAUAAGCUUGUUGUUGGGGUAGUGGCCUACCACGUCGACGACGGGUAGCCGGCCUGAGAGGGCGACCGGCCACAUUGGGCUGAGAUACGGCCCAAACUCCUACGGGAGGCAGCAGGGGGGAAUAUUGCACAAUGGGGGAAACCCUGAUGCAGAAACGCCGCGUUCGGGAUGUCGGCCUUCGGGUUGUAAACCGCUGUCAGCCAUGACGCGGUAGUGUCAGAAGAAGCACCGGCUAACUACGUGCCAGCAGCCGCGGUAAUAC